rnacentral:misc_RNA from 1 species
AUUUCCCAGGCUAGGGUGGUUGUUCUUCCACUGGGUAUUCAAGAGACUCUGUAAUCGGAGUCCUAUCAUUGUUUGAAGGCAAAGAGAAUUAAAAUUUCACAAAUAAACUUUGAGUUCUUCGGAUGUUUGCCAUACUUGAAUGACGGUACAAUUUGGGGGCGUACAACGUUGGUUGAGUGGGGAAGGGAGCGAGGGUUGUACAAUUUAGGGCAGAGCUAUGCUCUUUAUAUUACCAAUGAAAAAUAGCUCUUGGCAGAGUCUUGCGUGUUCCUAUUGAUUAUUGUGACCUACAGGUCAGAAUCUACCAUUUACCAAGCACAUGGUUUGACAGGUGCUCAUCAGAAGACCAGCUCAGAAGGGAAAUCAAGUAACUGGGGGAGAAAACAGAAAAGUGUGUACUUUUUUUUAUCUUUAGAUUUUCCUUCUUUAAUUCAAAAUGAAGUUUUCAGCUCUUAAGAUCCUAAUUUUUUUUUUCUUUUACUUCUUAUAGUACAUGAAUUGUUGGUGAUGAUAGAGAUAUGAAUGAAUAAAUGUUCAUUUACAUUGUAAUUUCCCAUUUCUCUAUCCAUAGACACAAAAGAUAUUGGCCAGUUACCAUUUUUAAAAGUACAAGCAAGAGAAAAAAGCAAGAACGCUCCAGUGGGUGGGACAUCAUUUCUGUGGCCACAUCAAGAUGGAGUCAUAUUUAUUAGUCAGUGGUCAUGCAAAAGCAACUUAUAAGGUAAGGUACUAGCUUCUUUAUAACCAAUAAACAGUUAAAAACAUUGAUUAAUAGAAAAUUGGUCCUUGACAGAAAGCGACUUAAUCCGGAUUGGUUACUGAACAUUAUGAUCUUUACACCAGAGGCAAAUUGUGUAAACUUCUCAGUUCCCGCCACCUGUUGCAAUGCAAGAGCAAGAAUGAAGUCCUAAUCCACCAUUUCUUCAAUACCAAUUUAUUCCUUUUCAAGUCCUAAACUAGUUUUUACUGCUCUGGAUAGUACCAGUGCAGGGUGGGAGCUUGAUCAACUGAAAAGAAAUUGCAGGACUCCACUGUACUGAACACAUUUUGCUCUUCUAGUUUCACAUGGGGUUGAUAUACUUGAAACCCACUGCCCAAAAUGGUUCUUGAUUCUGAUAACUGAAUCCAAUUCAUCAAUGCAUGUGAAGAUAAACCAUUGCUCUGGUCUUUAAUGAUUGGGUUGGAAUUGUUAUUAUCACUGAAUUCGUGGCUCUGACUAUGCACUGAAACGUUGUUCUCUGACUCUGAAACAGGGGGCUCUUCUUUGACAGAGUGACUGCUGUCUGCAUUUUCUUCCCUGAGCUUUGCUUUCAAUUCCUUUACCUGCAAUUCACGUACCAAACAAACAAAUAAAGGACCAAGCUGUUUAAAUCGAAUUAUAAUCAUCUACUUAUCCCUUGCGAAUAUGAUUAAAAUUGACACUUUAUUGGUUCUCUACCUGCAGAGUUAGAGAUUCGUUCUGUCGUUCAAGACUAUCAUAAUUGAGUUUUAGAGCUUCGUAAUUGGCCUUGAGGGCUACAUAUUCUCGCUCCAGUUGCUUAGUCUUCCAACGGGCACGGCGGUUCUGGAACCAAAUGGCUACUUGUCGUGGUUGGAGGCCUAAUUCUUCUGCUAAUUUCUGCUUUCUCUCUGGCUCAAGCUUGUUUUCCACCUCGAAAUUCUUCUCCAAGGCCUUAACUUGAUCCAGGGUUAACCUUCUUUUCUUCAGAGUAUGGGUAGCUUCCUCAGUGUUGUCUUCUUCCUCUAGGCUAUCUAACAUUGCUUGAAACUCUCUGGCGUAUCCCUGUGAUGGUUUAUGUGUCUCCUCCUCUUUGGAAGAAGAUAUGGAGACUGAAGCAGCAAAUGAAUCUGAGGAACUGAACCUUUUCAUACUUGAAAUCAAGAAAGGACCUAAGCAGAUAUAUUGUUCAAGAAGUGCUUCAGUGUUUGGGUAGAGAUACCAUGCAUAACCAGGACUACUGUGGCAAAAUAGUGAGCAGAAUGAGAAAUGAUCCGCUAAAGACCGUAAAGCUUCGUAGCAGCCAGAGCUUUGCUCACUCUGUUUAAGCACACCAAAAGAACAGCAGAUAAUCAAGUGUGCUGUGGUGUAAACUUUAGAAAUUAGCAAGCUUUCGAGGAACGUAGGCAAAACCCAAGAAAGAGGAACAGUAAUCAAAAGGCUUCCUCUAGCUAAUCAUUGUCUAAUCAUGCAAAGAGAGACUAUGAUACAGAAGAGAGAGUGAAGUCCCAGAGGCG